rnacentral:tRNA from 1 species
GAGGGUAGAGCUCAGUGGUAGAGUGUGUGCUUAGCAUGCAUGAGGUCCUGGGUUCAAUUCCCAGUACCUCCA